rnacentral:rRNA from 1 species
ACGCACGCUGGCGGCGUGCCUAAUCCAUGCAAGUCGAGCGGACUGAUUAAGAGCUUGCUCUUAUGACGUUAGCGGCGGACGGGUGAGUAACACGUGGGCAACCUGCCCUGUAGAUCGGGAUAACACCGAGAAAUCGGUGCUAAUACCGGGUAAUAUCUGAGAUCACAUGAUCUUAGGUUAAAAGAUGGCUCCGGCUAUCACUACAGGAUGGGCCCGCGGCGCAUUAGCUAGUUGGUAAGGUAAUGGCUUACCAAGGCGACGAUGCGUAGCCGACCUGAGAGGGUGAUCGGCCACACUGGGACUGAGACACGGCCCAGACUCCUACGGGAGGCAGCAGUAGGGAAUCUUCCGCAAUGGACGAAAGUCUGACGGAGCAACGCCGCGUGAGUGAUGAAGGGGUUCGGCUCGUAAAGCUCUGUUGUUAGGGAAGAAACAGUACCGAACGAACUAGGUCGGUACCUUGACGGUACCUAACCAGAAAGCCACGGCUAACUACGUG